rnacentral:rRNA from 1 species
GAUGAACGCUGGCGGCGUGCUUAACACAUGCAAGUCGAACGGAAAGGCCCAAGCUUGCUUGGGGACUCGAGUGGCGAACGGGCGAGUAACACGUGGGUGAUCUGCCCUGCACUUCGGUAUAAGCCUGGGAAACUGGGUCUAAUACCGGAUAGGACGAUGGUUUGGAUGCCAUUUUGGAAAGUUUUUUCGGUGUGGGAUGAGCUCGCGGCCUAUCGGCUUGUUGGUGGGGUAAUGGCUUACCAAGGCGUCGACGGGUAGCCGGCCUGAGAGGGUGUACGGCUGGAGUGGGGCUAGGAUACGGCCCAGAGUCGGACGGGGGGCAGCAGUGGGGAGUAUUGCGCAAUGCGCCAGAGGUUGAUCCAGCGAGGCUGCGUGGGCGGUGAAGGGAUUAGAGCUGUAGACACCUAUCGCGGGCAACGAAGCGAUUUUGUGACGGUACGUGGAGAAGAAGCACCGGCUGAAUACGUG